UCUGAAAUAAGAACGAAACAACGGUUAGAAAUCUUCUGUUGCAGAAACUACAGUGACAGCUAGCAUUACAACUACCAGUUUGGCCAAUAUUCCAGUUGAAGCAAGUGAUGGAAGAAAGAAAAUGUUUGCACAACGGACAGUUGUAUCGGUAGGUUGGAAAAAUUUUCCUGGGGAUGCCCACAAGUUUUCCCAUGGUCCCCAGGAAUCAAUUGUUGUUGUUUGGAGCAUGUCAGUUAGACAAGAGAGGUGCUGACAACAACAAAAGUAAAAGUGUGUUUUAUUUUCGCGGACCAAUGGAUACACACAUGUAGCAUUAGAUAAGAAAUUUGAGGCUCCAACUUCUUUUCUAGAUUAGACAUACGUACAGCUGGAAGCCAUGUGUAACUGGAGUAUUCUGCUUCAUGCCUCUGAAAGGCCAUCGCGACUUCUUUUUCUUUGGAGGAUAGAUUAUUACAACUUGGACGCACUUUAAUCUAUAUUGAACUAUCCUACACAGACCAUUACUGAACAAUCAUCAGCUAAUGAUCUACGCCUUUCUCAAUACAUCUGUUGGUGCACACAUAGUCAGCAAUCAGAUCUCAGACUUAAGAACACAUUUUAAAUCCAGUCCAGAUAAUGGCAUGCGUCAACAUUAUGUGCUGAUUCAGUAAGGUACAACCAUCGGCCACAUGUUGCAGGCCAGAUGCUGACGCAGAGAAAGAGAGAGGCCACCGGCCCUUCCCUUUCCUGAUUGUGGCUGCCACCGUGACCACAAAGGAUCACAAUUAUUGACGACGCUUAUUAGCCGAAGCUUCAGUUCAAUUCCAUGACAAAGAGCACACGUUUAGUAUGAAUGUGAUGUUAUUUAUUUCCCUUGCACCGCUUGUUUGCGCAGGAGACGCGACGCUAACAGGGAAAGGAGAUCCGGAGGCAUAAAUGAAGCGGGCACGAUCCUAACGUCCGGAAAGUGGCAACUGAAUUUGCUGAGUUCCAUCAAGAGAUUAGGAGGGACCAUGUCCAUGGUGCACCUCCUUUGCUGAAGAAAGGUAGGUAGGUAGGCAGGCAGGUGAUGGGAGGAUGGGAUGGGGGUGUCAACAUUGAGGCAAGUGAACAAAGUGCUCCAUGAUGUUGCUUAGUUGAUUCCAUCCAUCCAUCCAUCAAUCCCCAAGUAUCGUAUCCGUUUAUUUGGAGCCCUGUCUAUGGAAUCUGUCUGCUUCAUUAGUUACAUGAUUAAUUGCUAAACUUGGUGUUGAUCAAAAAAAUUUGGACUUGGCUUCCACAUUUGCCUUGUGAUUUUCUUUCAGGCUGGACUUUUAAGAGAGUAUAUGCACUGAAUUUGGGGGAAAAUCAAGGACAACCAUGUACAGAAGAAAGCAGAUACUCGUAGCAGGAUGACUAGGUUAACAGCGACGGUUGAGUAGAAAAGACUGAUGGAUGAUAGGAUGGGCGUUUUGCUGUGCUGGUGGCAUCGCCUUCCUACAUUGACAAUUCAGUGAGGCUGUGGCCACUACAGCGCUGCUGUUUUGGUCUCUUCCCCUUGUCAACAUCGAGUCGUUGCUCUAGUUUGGCGUUGCAAAAUGGCCUGGCUCAGUUGGUUGCCACGCGCCGACGCGCCAAAAAGAAAAGGGCAAGUUACUGCACUGCACUUGUCAUCCUUUGUUUUUUCUUGACUCAGCACCGGUCUCUGCAUGCCUCGGCGGCUAUAGAUUAGUGUUUCUUGCUCUCAGCUUUGCUGUGUGUUUGCUUAGAUUAUGCUGCCUCAAUCAGCUCAGGUGAUCCGCAGUGAUCCGUGUCACAGUCUCGCCAUGUUCACUCGAAACGUAAACAACCUUGCAGUGUGUUUUGUUAUUCAAAAGGAGUAUCAAAUAAUAUCGUCAUUAACUUGCUCUAAUUUUUCCGCUAGAUUUAAUUGAAGUAGGUGCUGUCUAGUAACAGUACGGCUGCGGUGGAUGGCUGGACAGCUUGUGACUUUGGCAAGGAAAAAAGAGGUCCCGUGGAGUGGACACCCACUUUUGCUGUUCUGCGAGGACAAAGAAGCAGCAGGAGCACGAGUCCAGAUCUGAGCGACGAACUUCUUCCAAAAAUAAAAUCUGAGCGAUGAACUUCUUCCAACAGAAAGAUCUGAGCCAUGAACAGUGCAACUGCUACUGCAGUUGCGUUGACCUGGAUAGACUCCACAGCAAUUAGUAAGAUAGGACAUUUUACUUGUUCAUUUUCAUGGCGUUAAGAAAACACACGAAUCACGUCAGCCACACGCGUUUAGAAAAGAAGACGGAGUUGUUGUGAUGUCUAUUUAUAUUUUGAAAGGAAGUUGUUGUCAUGUCUAAGGAAAGGGACAAACGAGGAAUAUUUUCCCUCCAAAAUGUAACAUAUCUUCGGUCUCACCCUGCCUGAAGAAAGCCGUUGCCAAUGACCCAAACGUAACCCACAAGCCACUUUGUUCUGGUAAAAAUGCGCUAGUCAACAUCAUCUCUUACUGCUACUGCAAAGAAAGCAGAGAGCUGGUCAAGAAAAUAGUUAAGAAAGCGGAGAGACUUUUCUACGUCAGUUUUGAACAAAUUUUAGCAGAGGGAAUAAUAUGGCAAAGUGGCUUCUGCAACCCUAAGGUGUAAGGAUGGGACGACAGUGAAAAUAUCACUUUUCCAUCCCUGGAAACUUUCCCACUGCCAUGUGGCUGGGGCUAGAUGAUGUAUACAUUCACAAGUUGUUUC